GACGAACGCUGGCGGCGUGCCUAACACAUGCAAGUCGAACGACAACCCAGUGCUUGCUCUGGCGUAAAGCAGCCAACGGGUGAGUAACUCGUGGGUACCUCACCCCGUUAACUUGGACAGCGCGUGGAAACGCGGGCCAUUACCUAAUGCCCCCUCUGGCCUUCGGGUGAGUGCGGAAGAGAAUCUUCCCUUUCGCGAUCGGAUGAGCCGAUGUCGGAUUAGGUAGUUGGGGGGGUAAAGGCCCACCAAGGCGGCGAUCCGUAGCUGGUCUGAGAGGAUGAUCAGCCACACUGGAACUGAGACACGGCCCAGACUCCUACGGGAGGCAGCAGUGGGGAAUAUUGGGCAAUGGGCGAAAGCGUGAUGCAGCAACGCCGCGUGGGGGAAGAAGGCCUUCGGGUUGUAAACCCCUUUCGGGGGGGAAGAAGAGCCGGCGGUGAAUACCCGGCCGUACUGACGGUACCUAAACAAGAAGCCCCGGCUAACUACGUG
rnacentral:rRNA from 1 species